rnacentral:rRNA from 1 species
UACGUAGGGGGCAAGCGUUGUCCGGAAUUAUUGGGCGUAAAGAGCGUGUAGGCGGUCCGGUAAGUCAGCUGUGAAAGUCAAGGGCUCAACCCUUGAAUGCCGGUUGAUACUGUCGGGCUAGAGUCCGGAAGAGGCGAGUGGAAUUCCCGGUGUAGCGGUGAAAUGCGCAGAUAUCGGGAGGAACACCAAUUGCGAAGGCAGCUCGCUGGGACGUUACUGACGCUGAGACGCGAAAGCGUGGGGAGCAAACAGG